GGUCAAGCUAAUAAGGGCUCAUGGUGGAUACCUAGGCACACAGAGGCGAAGAAGGACGUGGUUACCUGCGAAAAGUUCCGGGGAGUUGGAAGCAAACAGAGAGCCGGAAAUAUCCGAAUGGGGCAACCCUGAACACUGCCUGUUGAAUAUAUAGACAGGAAAGAGCGAACCUGGCGAAUUGAAACAUCUUAGUAGCCAGGGGAAAAGAAAUCAAAAGAGAUUCCCCGAGUAGUGGUGAGCGAAAGGGGAAGAGCCUAAACCAAGGGGUAUACCUCUUGGGGUAGUGGGACAGCAACAUCGAAUCCAGAGACUAGACGAAGCAGCUAAAUACUGCACCAGAGGGGGUGAAAGUCCUGUAGUCGAAAGUUAAAGGAUAGAAGCUGAAUCCCGAGUAAUACGGGGCACGAGAAAUCCCGUAUGAAUCAGCGAGGACCACCCUCGUAAGGCUAAAUACUACUGUGUGACCGAUAGAGAACAAGUACCGCGAGGGAAAGGUGAAAAGAACCCCNGGGAGGGGAGUGANAAAAGAACAUGAAACCGUGAGCUUACAAGGCAGUGGGAGUCCGGAUUAAACCGAUGACCCGCNGUGGCCUGUUGANAGAAUGACCCGCGCAACUUAUANGGNUACUGGUAGGUUAAAGNCGGGAAUNGCNUGGAGCCCAAACGGUUAAACNNCGAGUCUGAAAAGGGCGCNUAAUCAGUAUCUUAUUAGACCCGAACCCCUGAUNGAUCUAACCAUGGCCAGGAUGAAGCUUGGGUAAAACCAAGUGGAGGUCCGAACCGACCGAUGUUGAAAAAUCGGCGGAUGAGCGGUGGUUAGGGGUGAAAUGCCAAUCGAACCAGGAGCUAGCUGGUUCUCCCCGAAAUGUGUUGAGGCGCAGCGGUAAUGAAAAAAUUGGGGGGUAAAGCACUGUUUCGGUGCGGGCUGGGAGACCGGUACCAAAUCGAGGCAAACUAAGAAUACCCAAGGAGCACAUUGCCAGUGAGACGGUGGGGGAUAAGCUUCAUCGUCAAGAGGGAAACAGCCCAGACCACCAGCUAAGGUCCCCAAAUCAUCACUAAGUGAAAAAGGAGGUGGGGUUGCAAAGACAAUUAGGAGGUUUGCCUAGAAGCAGCCACCCUUGAAAGAGUGCGUAAUAGCUCACUAGUCAAGCGAUCCUGCGCCGAAAAUGAAAGGGGCUAAGUGAUGUACCGAAGCUGUGGGAUUAGAAAUAAUCGGUAGGGGAGCGUUCCGUAGUAGUGAGAAGCAGUAGCGGCAAGCAGCUGUGGACGAGACGGAAGUGAGAAUGUCGGCUUGAGUAGCGCAAACAUUGGUGAGAAUCCAAUGCCCCGAAACCCUAAGGGUUCCAGAGGCAGGUUCGUCCACUCUGGGUUAGUCGGGACCUAAGGCGAGGUCGAAAGGCGUAGUCGAUGGAGACCGGGUCAACAAUCCCGGACUACAAUAUGGGAGCAGAACUAGGGACGCAUGAAAGAUAGCCACGCCCUGAAUGGAUUGGGAAGANCGUUACGACGGUCGAGUGGUGAAGGAAAGUGCCAAGAAAAGCUAGGGUUGUGAUGAACAUAUAGUACCCGUACCCGAAACCGACACAGGUAGGGAGGUUGAGAAUACCAAGGGGCGCGAGAUAACUCUCUCUAAGGAACUCGGCAAAAUGGCCCCGUAACUUAGGAAGAAGGGGUGCCUGCCGAAAGGCAGGUCGCAGUGAAGAGAUCCAGGCGACUGUUUACCAAAAACAC
rnacentral:rRNA from 1 species